UACGGAGGGGGCGAGCGUUAUUCGGAAUUAUUGGGCGUAAAGGGCGCGUAGGCGGCUGGACAAGUCAAAGGUGAAAUCCCUCGGCUCAACUGAGGAACUGCCUUUGAAACUGUCCGGCUUGAGGCCGGGAGGGGGUAGCGGAAUUCCCAGUGUAGCGGUGAAAUGCGUAGAUAUUGGGAGGAACACCAGUGGCGAAGGCGGCUACCUGGACCGGUACUGACGCUGAGGUGCGAAAGCGUGGGGAGCAAACAGG
rnacentral:rRNA from 1 species